CAGUGGCUGUGCACCAAAGAGGAACCUGCCUUACGGGCUGGGGAGCUGGGACACCCUGUUCUGGAGGCCCAGCCCGGAAGCGCCCUUGCAGGUGGCCUGGUUGCAGGGUUCCUCUUCUCUGAUGUCUGAGAGGGGAAUUCAGCAAGAAGGACUCAGUCUGGAGCUGCCCAACUUCCUCAUAAGGCAGCCUGUACGAACCAGGUGACACCUUCCCACCUCGGGUCCUUCGUCCUGGGUGACCGUCUGCGGUCCUCUGUCCCUGCCCCGGCUCUGGGUCCUGACCUGGGCUGCGGCCCCCUGAAGGUACAGAGCUCUGGCGUCCUGAGCAGCCCUGCCUGUCAGGGGCCCUGGCACUCGAAAGGAGCAGGGUGCGUGUGAUCCAAAGAGAUGAAAGCUUGACUCGUGGGCCUAGUGCGAUCCCACUUCUCCUGCGACAUCUCGGGGGGCCGGUGUCUCUCUGGCCGUGUGGGUCCCCCUGGCCUGGGCAGCAGCUCCUGUGGCUGGGUCCAUGACAUCGGCAGCCUCCAGAUUUCCCCAGGUUGGUGGGGCCUGGGGAGGUCGGAAGCACCUCCAUCAGCCAGCCAAGAGCACCUCACUCUGGAGGGGGCAGGAUGCAGCGUGGAGCACGCCCAGGAGAGGCAGCUCAGUCCCUUCUUUAAGGUCAGGGUGACCCCGGGUAUGUCUGGGACCGCAGGGACAGGGCUCAAGGAAGCUCCACUGCACAGUGCCCAGC
rnacentral:lncRNA from 1 species